UACGUAUGGUGCAAGCGUUAUCCGGAUUUACUGGGUGUAGAGGGAGCGUAGGCGGCGCGUUAAGUCUGAUGUGAAAACCCGAGGCUCAACCACGGGAGUGCAUUGGAAACUGGCGAGCUGGAGUGCCGGAGAGGUAAGCGGAAUUCCUAGUGUAGCGGUGAAAUGCGUAGAUAUUAGGAGGAACACCAGUGGCGAAGGCGGCUUACUGGACGGCAACUGACGCUGAGGCUCGAAAGCGUGGGGAGCAAACAGG
rnacentral:rRNA from 1 species